GGCGUAGCGUUGGAAUCAAAUUGCCAAGGUUGGGGUCGAGGGUUCGAAUCCCUUCGCCCGCUCCA
rnacentral:tRNA from 1 species